UGGGGAAUAUUGCACAAUGGGCGCAAGCCUGAUGCAGCCAUGCCGCGUGUGUGAAGAAGGCCUUCGGGUUGUAAAGCACUUUCAGCGGGGAGGAAGGCGUUAAGGUUAAUAACCUUGGCGAUUGACGUUACCCGCAGAAGAAGCACCGGCUAACUCCGUGCCAGCAGCCGCGGUAAUACGGAGGGUGCAAGCGUUAAUCGGAAUUACUGGGCGUAAAGCGCACGCAGGCGGUCUGUCAAGUCGGAUGUGAAAUCCCCGGGCUCAACCUGGGAACUGCGUUCGAGACUGGCAGGCUAGAGUCUUGUAGAGGGGGGUAGAAUUCCAGGUGUAGCGGUGAAAUGCGUAGAGAUCUGGAGGAAUACCGGUGGCGAAGGCGGCCCCCUGGACAAAGACUGACGCUCAGGUGCGAAAGCGUGGGGAGCAAACAGG
rnacentral:rRNA from 1 species